rnacentral:rRNA from 1 species
AACGAACGCUGGCGGCAUGCCUAACACAUGCAAGUCGAACGAGACCUUCGGGUCUAGUGGCGCACGGGUGCGUAACGCGUGGGAACCUGCCCUUAGGUUCGGAAUAACUCCCCGAAAGGGGUGCUAAUACCGGAUAAUGUCUUCGGACCAAAGAUUUAUCGCCUUUGGAUGGGCCCGCGUUGGAUUAGCUAGUUGGUAGGGUAAAAGCCUACCAAGGCGACGAUCCAUAGCUGGUCUGAGAGGAGGAUCAGCCACACUGGGACUGAGACACGGCCCAGACUCCUACGGGAGGCAGCAGUGGGGAAUAUUGGACAAGGGGCGAAAGCCUGAUCCAGCAAUGCCGCGUGAGUGAUGAAGGCCUUAGGGUUGUAAAGCUCUUUUACCCGGGAUGAUAAUGACAGUACCGGGAGAAUAAGCACCGGCUAACUCCGUG